GCAUAUUCCAGGCUAAACUGUGCUGCAGCAAUACUUUGUGGGACAGGAGUUGAGGUGCUUGGUCUCAGCAAGCUAACAUCUUUCAUUUAAAAAGCCAAAUUAGUCCAGAGGCUCUGGUCCCACAAGGUUUCAGAGCAAUUUGCCCCUGGGCUGCAAUCGGCACAGCUCACCCAUCUCUGUCCCCAGGCACCCCGAGGGAGAGGACGAGACCAGAAGAGAGGCCGACUCUGACCCUCGCACCACGUAAUGCUGCUUCCGAGUGAAAACCAGUGACCCCAGGGACUGAGGGCCAGCACCAGGCUGCCCAUCUACGGCUCCCAGCAAAAGCUCCCCUGCAGCCAGCACCUGGUUCAGCACACGCCGAAACUCCCAGCGAAACAACCCACGACGCCAACCAACCCACGUCCCUCUAACUCCUCUCUUGCAGCCCAGGGGGGACCAGACACCGGCUGAAGUGCUGGUGCAGAACAGAAAUUUGCCUGUUUUUAAGGCUGAGCCCUGCGGGGUGGCCGGCAGCCCCACAGCGAUGCCCCCACAAAGCCAUCACGCAUCCCGCGGGCACAGGGCGAUCAGGCGUCCUGCUCCCGGCAGCGGGGUUCACGCACCCUCUGCAGCUUUCCCAU
rnacentral:lncRNA from 1 species